ACACAGUGUUCCAUCCAGAGGAUGUAGCAUCAAGGCGUCAUCUUAAAAGCAGAGAAAAGACUCUUACUUGACACCAGAUGCCAGUGCAUUGAUCUUGGACUUCCCAGCCUCUAGAACUAUUUAGUUCAGCCUGGUGUGGAUGCAUUUCAGAAUCUGUGAAAAAUGGAAUCACAAUGCUGUGACAGCAGCAUUUCUGCCUGUGGUAUCUGUGAAGCAGGUAAACAGCCCUGGGACAAAGAACAGACUACGGGUAUUGCCUUCUUAAUCAACAAUAAAGUAUUAGUUGGCUUCCAGGCAGACACCACUGACUUUCAAGAGAAAGGCACGGGAGUAAGGAAGUAAAGAAUUCAGGUGCUGCUUGAAAAUACAACAAACUGUCUUCAGAAUACUUUUAUGUGUUGUUGAAAGAAAGCACUGCAGCUAAUAUAGCUACAAAGGAGAAACAGUUAUUCUUAAAUGUCAUCUAUUUGCUGGACCUGAACAGGAAUUCACUAUGGAGCUCAUACAACUACCACCUUCAGCUAUUAAUCAAGGAGUCAUUCAACUGAGAAAGGGGAGAUUGAGAUGUUGAAUCAUUUCUCAUUCUGUGAAGUCUACCAGAAUAACCCAUAAAGCAAAUAUCAACCUAUUUCAAUUAGAAAAAUGAAAAAUACUGAUACAGCAGACGAAUUCUGGAACUAACACUUCCACAAAUCAUUGAUAAUCCAUUUUCCAACUUCUUCAAAUUCCAGACCAUCAACAAAUGUACUGUUCCAUCUGGAAGUCAAGAUUGGUGCCACCUAAGUGGGUUCCUGCUGCAAGGAACUUAAGGACAUCCUCCUUCAUUUGCAGGACAUCAAGGGCUCCGGACAUUGUGAAAGUUUCCCUUUAAGUUACGACGGGAAUCCAGAACAACGCCGUAUGGACCCCUCUGCAGGUAGCAAGGAAAAGCGCCAGUAACUUUUAAAGGCUUGUUUUGCAUAUUAUUCAGGCCUAAAUCACGGUUCUCAUAAAUUGAUUAUCAUGUCCCUUUCAUCUGUCCAUUUAUGCUUCUAAAUGGUUCUUAAUGGUUCACUAUAUUUGAAGGCCAUAACCAUUUGCUGAUGAGUUACUAGUUUAAUUUGUCACUAUUUCUCCAAUACAUAUAUGUAAGUGCUUAUCGUCUUUUAAUCCUAGAUAUUCUUCUGGAAGUAAUAAUAAAAGUUGAAAGCUGGAAGGAAAAUAA
rnacentral:lncRNA from 1 species